rnacentral:tRNA from 1 species
GGGGGUGUAGCUCAGUGGUUAGAGCAGCGGGCUCAUAACCUGUUGGUCGAAGGUUCAAUUCCUUCCACCCCCACCA